rnacentral:rRNA from 1 species
AGUUUGAUCCUGGCUCAGAACGAACGCUGGCGGCACGCCUAACACAUGCAAGUCGAGCGCUACCUUCGGGUGGAGCGGCGGACGGGUUAGUAACGCGUGGGAACAUACCCUUUUCUACGGAAUAGCCUCGGGAAACUGAGAGUAAUACCGUAUACGCCCUUCGGGGGAAAGAUUUAUCGGUUAAGGAUUGGCCCGCGUUAGAUUAGAUAGUUGGUGGGGUAAUGGCCUACCAAGUCUACGAUCUAUAGCUGGUUUGAGAGGAUGAUCAGCAACACUGGGACUGAGACACGGCCCAGACUCCUACGGGAGGCAGCAGUGGGGAAUCUUAGACAAUGGGCGCAAGCCUGAUCUAGCGAUGCCGCGUGAGUGACGAAGGCCUUAGGGUCGUAAAGCUCUUUCGCCAGGGAUGAUAAUGACAGUACCUGGUAAAGAAACCCCGGCUAACUCCGUGCCAGCAGCCGCGGUAAU